rnacentral:misc_RNA from 1 species
AAAGUCGUAACAAGGUAACCGUAGGUGAACCUGCGGUUGGAUCAUUAAAAAAGAUUUGGUCUCGUGCCAAAUUAACAUCUGUGUGCACCAUUGUCUGUCUUUGGCAGUUCGAGUUGCCCUCCCGGAGCUCAACACUCAUUGGGAUCGGCCUACCCCUUUGCCUCGUGCGGGGGGGUUGGACUGCCGCAUUUAUGAAAAACCUUUUGUUUUGUUUUUUUUCUCUGUCUGAACGAAGAGUUAAUCUUUAUUGAUUAAUGAUUUUAAAACAACUUUUGACAACGGAUCUCUUGGCUCUC